CCAGGCUUGACAUCCCUUUGCAAAGCCCUUAAUCGGGCUCCUCUUGUUCGCAAGACAAAGGUGACAGGUGGUGCAUGGUUGUCGUCAGCUCGUGUCGUGAGAUGUUGGGUUAAGUCCCGCAACGAGCGCAACCCCUAUUUUUAGUUGCCAUCAGUUCGGCUGGGCACUCUAGAAAGACUGCCGAGGACAACUCGGAGGAAGGUGGGGAUGACGUCAAAUCAUCAUGCCCCUUAUGCUUAGGGCUACACACGUGCUACAAUGGCUGUUACAAAGGGCUGCGAGACCGCGAGGUGGAGCCAAUCCCAUAAAAACAGUCUAAGUUCGGAUUGUAGGCUGAAACUCGCCUACAUGAAGCCGGAGUUACUAGUAAUCGCAGAUCAGAAUGCUGCGGUGAAUGCGUUCCC
rnacentral:rRNA from 1 species